AUACAAAACAUAGAUAGAAAAAUAGAAACCAAACCAAGGCCCUAAUAGUAAAGUGAUACAUCUUAAUGUUAUGUAGGUGCAAAGUAAGACCUUACUAUGCCGCACAGGAAUUCUCAAUGUUUACCACCUGUUUACUAUGGUCAGAGACAAGGACUUGUCUCUGCUAUGGUUUACUACUGUCUACAGCGUCUACUCUACAGAAUUGACGGAUUUUUAGCAACAGCAACAACAGAGGUGUUUUGUGAACAACAACACUGUCGACUACAACUAGGGUGCGUUCAGAACAGGGCGUGGCAACCUGUAGACGGCGUGGAAACCUGUCAUCAAUAGUAUUAUUAUUUAAAAUAUUUGCAAAUAUUCCAUGGAAUUAGCAGAUAGGAUUGGCUCUCAUGUACUUUAUAUUUGUCCCAUUUU